rnacentral:rRNA from 1 species
GCUAUGACGGGUAUCCGGCCUGAGAGGGUGAACGGACACACUGGAACUGAGACACGGUCCAGACUCCUACGGGAGGCAGCAGUAGGGAAUAUUGCUCAAUGGGGGAAACCCUGAAGCAGCAACGCCGCGUGGAGGAUGAAGGUUUUAGGAUUGUAAACUCCUUUUGUUAGAGAAGAUAAUGACGGUAUCUAACGAAUAAGCACCGGCUAACUCCGUGCCAGCAGCCGCGGUAAUACGGAGGGUGCAAGCGUUACUCGGAAUCACUGGGCGUAAAGAGUGCGUAGGCGGGAAAAUAAGUCAGAUGUGAAAUCCUAUGGCUUAACCAUAGAACUGCAUUUGAAACUAUUUUUCUAGAGUGUGGGAGAGGUAGGUGGAAUUCUUGGUGUAGGGGUAAAAUCCGUAGAGAUCAAGAGGAAUACUCAUUGCGAAGGCGACCUGCUGGAACAUCACUGACGCUGAUUGCACGAAAGCGUGGGGAGCAAACAGGAUUAGAUACCCUGGUAGUCCACGCCCUAAACGAUGAAUGCUAGUUGUUGGGAGGCUUAGUCCUUUCAGUAAUGCAGCUAACGCAUUAAGCAUUCCGCCUGGGGAGUACGGUCGCAAGAUUAAAACUCAAAGGAAUAGACGGGGACCCGCACAAGCGGUGGAGCAUGUGGUUUAAUUCGAAGAUACACGAAGAACCUUACCUAGGCUUGACAUUGAUGGAAUUUUCUAGAAAUAGAGAAGUGUCUAGCUUGCUAGACCCUGAAAACAGGUGCUGCACGGCUGUCGUCAGCUCGUGUCGUGAGAUGUUGGGUUAAGUCCCGCAACGAGCGCAACCCUCUUUCUUAGUUGCUAACAGAUUAUGCUGAGCACUCUAAGAAUACUGCCUGCGUAAGCAGGAGGAAGGUGAGGACGACGUCAAGUCAUCAUGGCCCUUACGCCUAGGGCUACACACGUGCUACAAUGGGGUGCACAAAGAGAAGCAAUACCGCGAGGUGGAGCAAAUCUAUAAAACGCCUCUCAGUUCGGAUUGUAGUCUGCAACUCGACUACAUGAAGCUGGAAUCGCUAGUAAUCGCAAAUCAGCCAUGUUGCGGUGAAUACGUUCCCGGGUCUUGUACUCACCGCCCGUCACACCAUGGGAGUUGUGUUUGCCUUAAGUCAGGAUGCUAAAAUAGCUACUGCCCACGGCACACACAGCGACUGGGGUGAAGU